rnacentral:lncRNA from 1 species
GAAUGCAGUGGUGUGAUCACAGCUCACUGUAGCCUUGACUUCCCAGGCUAAAGUUAUAAUCCUACCUCAGCCUCCAAAGUAGCCGGUAUCACAGGAUUCACUUGAAGAAGCCCACAGGGACGGGUGACACUGAGGAAACAAAACCCAGGCCCCCCGGCCUCCGACUGAGCCGUGCAGAGCAUGCUGGGAGAUCACCUCCACCUGAGGAGCACAAAAGACCCCAGGAGUGGAGGAAGCUGGCCUGAGGCCAACCGGAUGUAACAGACUUGCUGGGCCCAAGGAGGGAGGUCUGGUGAUGGAGCCUCGAGUACAUAUCCUUCCAAUCCUAAGAGAUGAGCCUGGUGGACUUGAAUUACUGACAACCCACAGCAGAAGCUGAAGAGUACCACUGCUCACGCUCUUUCC